rnacentral:rRNA from 1 species
CCCCUAGAUGUUCUGGGCCGCGCGCGCGCUACACUGAACAGUUCAACAAGUCUUAACCUUGGCCGAUAGGUCUGGGUAAUCUUUGAACGCUGUUCGUGAUUGGGAUAGACCUUUGCAAUUAUGGGUCUUCAACGAGGAAUUCCUAGUAAACGCAAGUCAUCAGCUUGCAUUGAUUACGUCCCUGCCCUUUGUACACACCGCCCGUCGCACCUACCGAUUGAAUGGUCCGGUGAAAUCUCGGGACGGCGGCUUGGUCGCUUGCGUCCGACUGCUGAAACUUGAUUAAACCAUAUCAUUUAGAGGAAGGUGAANUCGUANCA